AUUGAACGCUGGCGGCAGGCCUAACACAUGCAAGUCGAGCGGAUGAAGGGAGCUUGCUCCUGGAUUCAGCGGCGGACGGGUGAGUAAUGCCUAGGAAUCUGCCUGGUAGUGGGGGAUAACGUCCGGAAACGGGCGCUAAUACCGCAUACGUCCUGAGGGAGAAAGUGGGGGAUCUUCGGACCUCACGCUAUCAGAUGAGCCUAGGUCGGAUUAGCUAGUUGGUGGGGUAAAGGCCUACCAAGGCGACGAUCCGUAACUGGUCUGAGAGGAUGAUCAGUCACACUGGAACUGAGACACGGUCCAGACUCCUACGGGAGGCAGCAGUGGGGAAUAUUGGACAAUGGGCGAAAGCCUGAUCCAGCCAUGCCGCGUGUGUGAAGAAGGUCUUCGGAUUGUAAAGUACUUUAAGUUGGGAGGAAGGGCAGUAAGUUAAUACCUUGCUGUUUGGACGUUACCAACAGAAUAAGCACCGGCUAACUUCGU
rnacentral:rRNA from 1 species